rnacentral:rRNA from 1 species
CUACGGGUUGCUGCAGUCGAGAAUAUUGGACAAUGGGCGAAAGCCUGACCCAGCGACGCCGCGUGCAGGAAGAAGGCCUUCGGGUUGUAAACUGCUUUUCUCCGGGAAGAACUCUGCCCGCAAGGGUAUAGGGUGACGGUACCGGAGGAAUAAGCGGGUGCUAAUUCUGUGCCAGCAGCCGCGGUAAAACAGAACCCGCAAGCGUUAUCCGAAUUUAUUGGGCGUAAAGGGUCCGUAGGUGGCUCGCCAAGUUUUCUGUUAAAUCUUCUGGGCUUAACCUGGAAGCUGCAGGAAAAACUGGUGAGCUAGAGAGCGCUAGGGGCUGAUGGAACGCUCGGUGUAGGGGUGAGAUCCGUUGAUAUCGAGCGGAACACCAAAAGCGAAGGCAUUCAGCUGGGGUGACUCUGACACUGAGGGACGAAAGCGUGGGGAGCAAAAAGGAUUAGAUACCCCAGUAGUC